CGCAAUGGGGGCAACCCUGACGGAGCGACGCCGCGUGGAUGAUGAAGUACUUCGGUAUGUAAAAUCCUUUUAUUGGGGAGAAAGUUAUUGAUAGUACCCGAUGAAUAAGAGGUUGCUAAACUCGUGCCAGCAGCAGCGGUAAUACGAGUGCCUCAAGCGUUAUCCGGAAUUAUUGGGCGUAAAGGGUGUGUAGGUGGUUGUGUUAGUCUUCUGUCAAAUUCUUCGGCUUAACCGGGGUUCUGCAGGGGAAACGGCACAACUUGAGGAUGCGAGGGGUAUAUGGAACUCAUAGUGUAGGGGUGAAAUCCGUUGAUAUUAUGGGGAACACCAAAAGCGAAGGCAAUAUACUGGCGCAUUCCUGACAUUGAAACACGAAAGCGU
rnacentral:rRNA from 1 species